ACGGGUGAGUAAUGUCUGGGAAACUGCCUGAUGGAGGGGGAUAACUACUGGAAACGGUAGCUAAUACCGCAUAGCGUCGCAAGACCAAAGAGGGGGACCCUCGGGCCUCUUGCCAUCGGAUGUGCCCAGAUGGGAUUAGCUUGUUGGUGGGGUAACGGCUCACCAAGGCGACGAUCCCUAGCUGGUCUGAGAGGAUGACCAGCCACACUGGAACUGAGACACGGUCCAGACUCCUACGGGAGGCAGCAUG
rnacentral:rRNA from 1 species